GCGGAACGCGAAGGCCGAGCGCCGCCUCCGGCCGCGCGCCGUUGCCGCGGGUUCGAAACCACAGCCCGCCGGUCUCGGCGACCGCCGCGAACACCGCGGCCUCCUUGGACCGGUACGGAGAAGUGGCACGGAUACCUGGAUGUUAGGGCCCGCGAUGUUCGGGCCCGGGAUGUUCUAAAUGACGUGUUUCCGUGCACCCUUCCUGUGCAGAUGGAGUCCUGCUCUGUCGCCCAGGGUGGAGUGCAGGGGCGCUAUCUCGGCUCACUACAAACUCUGCCUCCCGGGUUCAAGUGAUUUUCCUGCUUCAGCCUCCUGAGUAGCUGGGACUACAGGUGCCUGCUGCCACACCCGGCUAAUGUUUGUUAGUAGAGACGGGGUUUCACCAUAUUGGCCAGGCUGGCCUUGAGCUCCUGACCUUCUGAUCCACCCACCUCGGGCUCCCAAAGUGCUGGGAUGACAGGCGUGAGCCGCCGCACCCGGCCCGCUUUGCACUUUAAAAUGUUCCCUGAAAUGCGACCAGCAGCGCCCUCCACCCAGCCUUUCAGCCCUGGGAUCUUCCCUCUUCCACUGCGCUGCUCCCUGUCUGUAGAUCAGUGCCAGGAGGAGACCAGCAUGGCUGGGCUCAGCUUCUCCUUCCAAGGAAUCGUGGCUGCGUCCCCCACAGAAGCAUUCUUCCCUGGGGGGCUAAGAAACACAUGAAUGGGGAUAAAGGGUAAAAGGGAGAAGCCACCCCGGUUCCCGCCUGAGUAUCCUGACUGUGGUUCCUGAGCAUUCACUAAGUGUCAAAGAAAAGCACUCAGCUGAGGAUGGCUUGAGGCCAGGAGUUCAAGACCAGCCUGGCAACAUAGCAAGACCCCCGUCUCUACAAAAAAUAUAACAAAUAACAUCAAAAGGAGAAUAAUUAUCACCUGUUCCAAACCUCUGGACUCCAGAACCUUCACUGAGGUGAGGGGGCCCCUGAAUUUUUGUGGGGUUCAUCUCCCACCCUCUGAUUUGUCUCACCAAGACAUCUGAAGUACUUUUUUCCUUGGUGUCCAUGGGGACGUUGAGGAAAAAAAAAAAAAAGACUUGCUACUCCCUGCUCCUCAUGAAGGGGGAAGGAAGAGCUGGGUAGAGGAAGGCGUGAUCCUUGGCUAGGGAUCCCCCCACCGCCUGUGCCCACAAACCUAGGUGAGGACAGGGAUUUUUGUUUUCCUGCCCAAAUGUUGCAUUUCCAAAGACCACCCUGGCCUGCCACGCCCCCAUCCUGUCCCUAUAAAAUCCCCGAGACUCUAGCAGACUCCAUCUGGCCAGGUGUGGUGGCUCACGCCUGUAAUACCAGCACUUUGGGAGGCUGAGGUGGGUGGAUCACCUGAGGUCAGGAGUUCGACAUCAGCCUGGCCUCACAUAGUGGACCGUGUCUCUACAAAACUACAAAAGUUAGUGGGGCAUGGUGGCAUGCACCUGUAAUCGCAGCUACUUGGGAGGCUGAGGCAGGAGAAUCGCUUGAACUUGGGAGGUGGAGGUUGCAGUGAGCUGAGAUCACACCACUGUACUCCAGCCUGGGCGACAGUGUGAUACUCUGUCUCCAAAAAAAGAAAAAGAAAAAGAAAAGGAAUUGGAAUCCAUUUGAUGCCAGUGUCUUGUCAUUCCUGAGACGCUUGAGUAUUUCCCUCCCUCUGUUACACAG
rnacentral:lncRNA from 1 species